rnacentral:rRNA from 1 species
CCUACGAGGGGCAGCAGUGAGGAAUAUUGGUCAAUGGACGAGAGUCUGAACCAGCCAAGUAGCGUGAAGGAUGACUGCCCUAUGGGUUGUAAACUUCUUUUAUAAAGGAAUAAAACGAGGCACGUGUGCCUUUUUGCAUGUACUUUAUGAAUAAGGAUCGGCUAACUCCGUGCCAGCAGCCGCGGUAAUACGGAGGAUCCGAGCGUUAUCCGGAUUUAUUGGGUUUAAAGGGAGCGUAGAUGGGUUGAUAAGUCAGUUGUGAAAGUUUGGGGCUCAACAGUAAAAUUGCAAUUGAUACUGGCAGUCUUGAGUAUAGUUGAGGGAGGCGGAAUUCGUGGUGUAGCGGUGAAAUGCUUAGAGAUCACGAAGAACCCCGAUUGCGAAGGCAGCUUACUAAACUGUGACUGACAUUGAUGCUCGAAAGUGUGGGGAUCAAACAGGAUUAGAUACCCCGGUAGUC